rnacentral:autocatalytically_spliced_intron from 1 species
UAAAUUUUGUAAGCUUGUGGAUAAUACUGCAAAGUAUAAUUUUUCAAAGAAACGCAAGAUAUUCACACCACAAGUGUUAAGGUAUCUGGAUGAUAAUAAUCUUUCCCCGUAACGACUGAUAGCUGAUUUAGGCAAUCAGCUUGAGUCUCUCCGACAUGAUGUCUGAGGGACAUACGCCAACGCCUUGUUAUUGGUGAAUAACAAGGAUGAAGAUAUAGUCUGCGCCAUUAGUAAUAAUGGA